rnacentral:rRNA from 1 species
GACAGAGGAUGCAAGCGUUAUCCGGAAUGAUUGGGCGUAAAGCGUCUGUAGGUGGCUUUUAAGUCCGCCGUCAAAUCCCAGGCUCAACCCUGGACAGGCGGUGGAAACUACCAAGCUGGAGUACGGUAGGGCAGAGGAAUUUCCGGUGGAGCGGUGAAAGUGCGUAGAGAUCGGAAAGAACACCAACGGCGAAAGCACUCUGCUGGCCGACACUGACACUGAGAGACGAAAGCUAGGGGAGCGAAUGG